UACGUAGGGUGCGAGCGUUGUCCGGAAUUAUUGGGCGUAAAGAGCUCGUAGGCGGUCUGUCGCGUCGGUCGUGAAAACCUGCAGCUUAACUGUGGGCUUGCGGUCGAUACGGGCAUGACUGGAGUUCGGCAGGGGAGACUGGAAUUCCUGGUGUAGCGGUGAAAUGCGCAGAUAUCAGGAGGAACACCAAUGGCGAAGGCAGCUCGCUGGGACGGUACUGACGCUGAGGCGCGAAAGCGUGGGGAGCGAACAGG
rnacentral:rRNA from 1 species